AGGACACUGGAUGCUUUCAACAUAAUCACAUAGAAAAGGAGCUUUCAUUCUCUGUUUACUGAGAAGAUUAGAAACAGUGGUGUACAUUUACCAUCAUGGCAAACGAAGGAUGCCGAAGAAUAAAUCUCUCCCCCCACCCCCCACUGCCAAGUGACUUUUUCAUUUUCUACUCUGACCUAUAAUUCUACCAUUCCUGGCUUAUUUUUAUGUUUCAGGCGUAUCUGACUUUCAGGCAUACUGUAUAAAUCAAGGUUAAAAUGUUAACACAAGUGCAAUAUGAGAGAACAUAUUCAAGGACAUAUGCUUGAGAAGAACAUGAGAGGAAAAACUACCAAGGAAUAAAGGGAAUCUAAUAAAUUUGGCAGAACCUUCAGAAUGAUGCUCCAUGGCUGAGAAGGAUGCUUGAGAACAACUGUUACCCUCUGGGUAGCUGGGGACAUGAUCUCUUCUUCCCGUGCUGAGUGUUAACCUCCUGGUACACCUAAUAAGCAGGUUUAUGACAGCAUACUGCAUUUCCUACA